rnacentral:rRNA from 1 species
UACGUAGGGCGCAAGCGUUAUCCGGAAUUAUUGGGCGUAAAGAGCUCGUAGGCGGUUUGUCGCGUCUGCCGUGAAAGUCCGGGGCUCAACCCCGGAUCUGCGGUGGGUACGGGCAGACUUGAGUGCAGUAGGGGAGACUGGAAUUCCUGGUGUAGCGGUGAAAUGCGCAGAUAUCAGGAGGAACACCGGUGGCGAAGGCGGAUCUCUGGGCCGAUACUGACGCUGAGGAGCGAAAGCGUGGGGAGCGAACAGG